GGGGAUUUAGCUCAAAGGUAUAAGUGCCUGCCUUGCAAGCAGGUGGUCAUGAGUUCGAUUCCCAGUACCG
rfam:Cavia porcellus supercont2_43 genomic scaffold, whole genome shotgun sequence.